AGUGAACGCUGGCGGUAGGCCUAACACAUGCAAGUCGAACGGCAGCACAGUAAGAUCUUGCUCUUACGGGUUGCGAGUGGCGGACGGGUGAGGUAUACAUCCUCAUCUACUUUUUCUUGUGUGUUAACGUAGGGAAACUUACGCUAAUACCGCAUACGACCUACGGUUGAAUUCAGUGGAUCUUCUGACCUUUCUCGUUUGAAUGAGCCGAUUUCGGAUUAGCUAGUUGGCGGGGUAAAGGCCCACCAAGGCGACGAUCCGUAGCUGGUCUGAGAGGAUGAUCAGCGACACGGGAAGUGAGACACGGAACAGAGUACUACGGGAGGGAGCAGUGGGGAAUAGUGGACAAUGGGCGCAAGCAUGAUACAGCAAUACCGCGUGGGUGAAGAAGGCCUUCGGGUUGUAAAGACCUUUUGUUGGGAAAGAAAAGAAGCAGGUUAAUACCACGAUGUUGUGACGGUAACAAAAGAAUAAGCACCGGCUAACUUCGUG
rnacentral:rRNA from 1 species